rnacentral:rRNA from 1 species
GAUGAACGCUGGCGGCGUGCCUAAUACAUGCCAGUCGAGCGAACAGACGAGGAGCUUGCUCCUUUGACGUUAGCGGCGGACGGGUGAGUAACACGUGGAUAACCUACCUAUAAGACUGGGAUAACUUCGGGAAACCGGAGCUAAUACCGGAUAAUAUUUCGAACCGCAUGGUUCAAUAGUGAAAGAUGGCUUUGCUGUCACUUAUAGAUGGACCCGCGUCGGAUUAGCUAGUUGGUAAGGUAACGGCUUACCAAGGCAACGAUCCGUAGCCGACCUGAGAGGGUGAUCGGCCACACUGGAACUGAGACACGGUCCAGACUCCUACGGGAGGCAGCAGUAGGGAAUAUUCCGCAAUGGGCGAAAGCCUGACGGAGCAACGCCGCGUGAGUGAUGAAGGUCUUCGGAUCGUAAAGCUCUGUUAUUAGGGAAGAACAACAGUGUAAGUAACUCUGCACGUCUUGACGGUACCUAAUCAGAAAGCCACGGCUAACUACGUG